CACGGCCCCCAAGCCACCUCACGCUGGAGGCGUCGGAUGAGGGAGCGCGGGGGAACUGAGGGGCGCCGCUUUGGACGUCGAGCGCUCGCCUCACGUUCGGCUAGCCACGAUGGCGGCUUGGCGUUGUUUUUUUUUUUGUUUUUGUUUUUUUUUCCUCGCUCGCUUGUUCUUCACGGUCUCAGGCGGAGCCCGAGUGGUUGACACUGAUGCGUCGCCAGGGGAGGCGAGGGAGAGCAGACCUCCAAGAGACUGAGCGAGAACUAUGGACCAUGAUAGGUGUAUGAAUUCCAGUUGACACUUCUUGGAGGAAGAUGGACAGAAUGAAUAUUUGUGAUUGCCUGGGGAUGAGUAACAGUAAGAAGACAUUUCUAUCUACAAUAAAGAAGGAAACAUUACAAAGAAGUACCUGGAAACUACCUUGAGUCAUAGAUGUGUUUAUUAAUUUCACUAAGUUGAUGGUUUUAUGGUGGUACAUUAUUAUAUGUCAAGGUAUAUGAAAUUGUGUAUCAAAUACAUACUUAGUGUGUUUGUUGACUGUACUCCACAAAAGUAAAAGUUUUGCAUUUCUAUCUUGCCAAAUAUUGUUAUUUUAAAUUAGAAACUUUGUAGAAGGUAAACUGACUAGUUAAGUGAACACAAGUUACAGGGCAUAGAUUU